UACGAAGGGGGCAAGCGUUGUUCGGAAUUACUGGGCGUAAAGGGCGCGUAGGCGGAUAUUCAAGUCAGAGGUGAAAGCCCUGGGCUCAACCCGGGAAUUGCCUUUGAAACGGGAUGUCUUGAGUAUGAGAGAGGGUGGCGGAAUACCCAGUGUAGAGGUGAAAUUCGUAGAUAUUGGGUAGAACACCAGUGGCGAAGGCGGUCACCUGGCUCAUAACUGACGCUGAGGCGCGAAAGCGUGGGGAGCAAACAGG
rnacentral:rRNA from 1 species